rnacentral:misc_RNA from 1 species
AAUACAAAAGAAGACUGAUUAUUGCUUGAAAUUUAGGUUGAAGCGAGACCAUAGACAUGGCACAAAAUGAAACAUGCACACGCAAGAUUGCACUUGCUUUGCUUACAUGUUUCGUUUUGACCCAAAAUGCUAACAAAGGGGAUCUUGAAACCGGGAACUAAUGUGGAAAGCUUGUCCGCCCAUUAAAUGCUACAGACCAUCACCUCAGAUGCCUGGGCUUCACGACAUUAUUUCCCUUCUCACCCAUUUCAUCAGAAAUCU